ensembl:lncRNA
AAAGCCCUUCAUUCUUCAUUCAGUAUGGAGGAAAAACUCAUCAACGCAGUGGCUAAUCGUCCAGAACUAUACGAUGCUAGCUGCUACUUCUACCGGGACAGGAAUAAAAAGGACCGAGCUUGGAGGCACAGAAGUGAGGAGAUCGGGCAACCUGAACCAACUGAUUCUGCUGCAGAGCAUCCCCUGUUGCUUCUCCUGGCUCCCCAGUCCCUGAGCUCCUGCUGCUGCACCCACAGAGAGGAGGACAGCUCCGAGGCAGAUGAGGGACGGGUCCCAGGACGGUCCAUCGGCAGUGGAGCUGGCCAUCCUGGUGUCCCUGAAGAGGCCACGCCAGUCUGCAAUGGAGCAUUUCCUCCUCAGCCUUGUUCCUGCUCUGGAGAGCAGCUGGUCUUUUUUUUUUUUAUUCCUGUCUCUCUGUAAAUACUUAUAUUUUAUAUAUUUAUGUUUAAUGUUUUUCUCUGUGAGAAUUUUAAUAUUAUUUCAAAUAAAUUUUUAUAAUGACUAAUGUCUCAGUUCUACUACACAGCAAAUGUUGG